GUGCACAUGGGAGACUCCAGGUGCAGGAGAGGGGGAGGUGGACUUCCUCUUGGUCUUCCCAAGCCAUGAAACUUCCUGGCUUGGUGGUAACAGAAGAGUCUCCUCCAGUUCCCUUGAAGAAUCCACCUUCCUGCAGGGUUGGGGGAGCGCAGAAUGGGAGGAAGAUACAAAUACCAAUUUUAUAGCAAGAAUGCAAAAAGAGGCCAGCGCGGUGGCUCGAGCCUGGAAUCCCAGCACUUUGGAAGGCGAGCUGGGCGGAUCACUUGAGGUCAGGAGUUCGAGACCAGCCUGACCAACAUGGAGAAACCUCAUCUCUAUGAAAAAUACAAAAAAAAAAAUUAGCCAGGUGUGGUGGCAUGCACCUAUAAUCCUAGCUGAGGCAGGAGAAUUGCUUGAACCUGGGAGGCAGAGGUUGCAGUGAGCUGAGAUCAUGCCACUGCAUGCCAGCCUGGGCAACAGAGUGAAACUAUCUCAAAAAGUAAAAAAAAAAAAAAAAAAAAAUUAAAAAGACAAAAUGGUUAAGAACCAGCUUUUUACACCCAAAA
rnacentral:lncRNA from 1 species